CCUACGUGGGUCAGCAGUGAGGAAUAUUGGUCAAUGGACGAGAGUCUGAACCAGCCAAGUAGCGUGAAGGAUGACUGCCCUAUGGGUUGUAAACUUCUUUUAUAUGGGAAUAAAAUGUUCCACGUGUGGGAUUUUGUAUGUACCAUAUGAAUAAGGAUCGGCUAACGCCGUGCCAGCAGCCGCGGUAAUACGGAGGAUCCGAGAGUUAUCUGGAUUUCUUGGGUUUAAAGGGAGCGUAGGUGGAUUGUUAAAUCAGUUGUGAAAGUUUGCGGCUCAACCGUAAAAUUGCAGUUGAAACGGGCAGUCUUGAGUACAGUAGAGGUGGGCGGAAUUAGUGGUGUAGCGGUGAAAUGCUUAGAUAUCACGAAGAACUCAGAUUGCGAAGGCAGUUCACUGGACUGCAACUGACACUGAGGCUCGAAAGUGUGGGUAUCAAACAGGAUUAGAUACCCCUGUAGUC
rnacentral:rRNA from 1 species